UGGUCUCAAACUCGGUAAUCUGCCUGCCUCAGUCUCCCAAAGUGCUGGGAUUAUAGAUGUAAGCCACUGAGCCUGGCAAGAAAGCACUUUCAAAGCAGUAAAAUGUGCCUACUUUGGUGCUUGGCACCCUGGAGGUACAGGAGCUACAUCUGCUGAAUGAACAGCACUGAGUAAGGACUGGUUUCUGCACUCCAGUUUGCAAUCUCACAAAGACGCCAGACAUACCAAAACAGCUUUCUACAUGGAGUGCUAUGGACACACUGGUGGUUGACAAUAAUAAGAACUUUUUGAAGGCAAUGUCAUUCCUGCCUCUCCAGACCUCAGACAGCUGUUACUCACUGUUUAUCCUUCAUCACGCCAUAGGCUACACUCCUAACACCAGCCAGCUGGCGAAUAUAUGACCUGUUUGUACAUGACAACCAUGACCAUCAUUACUCCAGAAAAGAAAACAAUUAAGCCACACAAUCAGCAAUACCUAAAGUGAGUCAACUGAAUUUCUGUGAGUCUGACUCUGACAACCUAUGGGACUUAUGCCAAAGAGGGGUUAUUCUCACUGGCUUUGGGCCAGUUUCUGCUGCUUUGAAUCCCUCCCUAUAACUUGGAUGAUUGACAAAUGUUGUGCCUCUUCCCAGAAUAUCAUUCUUCAGUCUUUUCAUAAGAAUGACUAGGACAAGAACCAUAGUGUCCUAUUUCUCAGAAGUUUCUGACCCUAUGCAUUGGGUGACAUCUCUACCACCAAAAAAUACCAACAGAGUACAUAGGAGCUAUGAACUAUCUAAGACAUACGGGCAAAGACAAGAAUACAUGCUAGUCAGCCUGAUGCUGCAAUUUAUACUCCUGAGCAUUUUGUUUCCUUAUCCCUGAAGUGUGGAUAUAAUACCUGUUCUCUGGGCAGCUGUGAGGAUAUGUGAGCUAAUUUAUGAAAAUGUAGAGUACAGUGCUUGGCACAUAGCUAAAACUCAGUAAGUGGCAGCUUAUAGAUAUCAUUAUUGGUGAAGAAACAAGAUGAAUUAUAUUGUACAUGUAUUUAUGUAAACCAAGGAAGGAUAAAAAAUAUUAAUGAUUUUAAAACAAUCUUUGGGGAAAUGACAGACUUCAAGGUAAUUUAAAACCCAUAGAGAUAACCUAACAUAUUCAAAUGCCACCAUUUGAUGGUAUACCUCCAAACUACA
rnacentral:lncRNA from 1 species